AAGCCAGACUCCUACGGGAGGCAGCAGUGGGGAAUAUUGCACAAUGGGGGGAACCCUGAUGCAGCGACGCCGCGUGGGUGAAGGAGCACCUCGGUGCGUAAAGCCCUAUCGGCAGGGAAGAAACAGACGGUACCUGACUAAGAAGCCCCGGCUAACUACGUGCCAGCAGCCGCGGGAAUACGUAGGGGGCAAGCGUUAUCCGGAUUCACUGGGUGUAAAGGGAGCGUAGACGGCGACGCAAGUCUGGAGUGAAAGCCCGGGGCCCAACCCCGGGACUGCUCUGGAAACUGCGGCGCUGGAGUACGGGAGGGGCAGGCGGAAUUCCUGGUGUAGCGGUGAAGUGCGUAGAUAUCAGGAGGAACACCGGCGGCGAAGGCGGCCUGCUGGACCGUGACUGACGUUGAGGCUCGAGAGCGUGGGGAGCAAACAGGAUUAGAUACCCCGGUAUAA
rnacentral:rRNA from 1 species